ACAGGUUCUCGUUAGAUCACCGAAGUCAAGCAUCAUUGGGCGCGGUCAGUACUUGGGUGGGUGACCACCUGGGAACACUGCGUGCCGUU